CGUUAGCCACCACACUUGGCCAAGAGAGUUCUUUCAAAUUUACCAAUAUUAUCACUAUUAAAUAGCUUUUAUUUUGAAGUAUAUAUCCUAGUGACUUUUUAACUUCAUAUAUCUUAUCCUGUAUAUACGUAGUGAAUCACUAUCUGGACUCAUUAGUUAGACGUUGAACUUAGCCGUGACCUUAUCUACUACAUACAUGGGCAUUUUCUGUUGUUAUUAACCCUGGGACUUAAGUUGCCUUAGAAAUAUUAAUGAUAAUUGCUAUAUGUAUAGAUGUUACCACUAAUAUCUUUAGUAUUCUCUGCUGACUAUCCAUGAACCCUGUGGAGUUUAUUAUGCUGGAAGUCACAGUGUAUUCCUUAAACCCUUCUGAUUCUGCCUUAUGGCCUCCUCCCUUGUUGAGUAUCUUCUUAAAAGGAAUCAGAAACCACUCUUCCCACAUUCUCCAAUAGUCAAGUCACACCAUGAACACGGUUCCAAGAAGCGGAAAGGUCCUCUACCACUUCAAGGAAAUUAGGAAGAAAAAAAAAGAGAGAAAAACAACGUGUUGUUCCAGAAGGUUCAAGAGAUUCUCCUGCCUCAGCCUCCCAAGUAAUUGGAAUUACAGGCCCAUGCCACCCCACCCGGCCAAUUUUUUUUGUAUUUUUAGUAGAGAUGGGGUUUUGCCAUGUUGGCCAGGCUGGUCUCAAACUCCUGACCUCAAGUGAUCCGCCAGCCUCGGCCUCCCAAAGUGCUGGGAUUACAGGCACGAGCCACCAUGCCGGACCUAUUAGUGUAUUUACUGGAUAUCAAGAUGACUAAGAAAUAGCACUUGCCUUGAAGGAGCUUUUCUAUUUGAGGAAAAAGACAUGUAUAUAAAUAACUGCAAACAGAAUGAAACAAGUGUUAUGUAGAUCUACAUACAGUGACAUGCCAUGGGAAUGCUGAACACUGAGCAACAGUUUCAACUAGCGAAUUGGCACAGGAAACAUGAAAAAUAAGCGUAUUUUCAAUAUGACAAGAAUGGUCAUUUCUGGAUAUAAGAACAAGAGAAAAGUCAUGGGUAUAUGGAAAGGCAUGGACUCUUCAAGGAAGAGCAAGUAGUCUAAUGUAGAUGCUGUAUAGGAAUCUGGGGACAAAGGGACAGAUAAGUGGUGUAGACAAAGAGGCUGGAAAUAGGGUUAUGGGCUAGAUCAUGAGUGACCUGUAAGCAUUAGGAGUUUUGAUUUAUUUUGGAAUAAGAAACAUUUAUGGCUUUUGAGAAGGAAAAUUACACAAGGGAAAAGAAAGGAUUUUUAUUUUUUAUUUUUAUUUUUGGAGAGAUGAGAUCUCACUAUGUUGCCCAGGCUGGUCUUGAACUCCUGAACUCAAGCAAUCCUCCCGGCUCGGCCUCUGAAACUUCUAGGAUUAUAGGCGUGAGCCACUACGCCCAGCCAGGAUUAUGUUUUUUUAUGGGAGGGAUGAGAAUAUUGGUAGGUGGGUAGAGGAUAAAUGAGAGAGAAUAUGUAUAUGUGAGAUUGAAUAUAUAAUAGAAAAAAUUGAUAGGACAAGUCCUGCGUUAUUACUACAUUUUAUGAGGAAAAUCUAUAUAUUAGAAGCACUUUAAAGGUAUAUUUGCUAUUCUAGCUGUGGAAACCAUCUGAAAACACAUUUGAAAGUGCUUUGAAACAGGGGUCAACUUCUCUGCAAAGGGCCAGAGUAUGUUUAGCUUUGCGGGCCACAGAUGGCCUCUGUUGCAUAUGCUGCUGGGUCUCCACCUUCCUCCUCCUUUUCUUCCCUUCCUCUUCCUUCUUUUUCUUCUUCUCUUUCUUCUUUCUCUUUAAAAGCAUAAAAUCAUUCUCAGCUCUUGGGCCAUACAGAAACAGGCCAUAGGCCAGAUUUGACUUCUAGGCCAUAGUUUGCCGACCCUCCAUUUUAGAACUUAGCUUUCCUGAAAGAGCAUUUGGGUCUCUCUCUCUCUUUCCCUUUCUCUCUCUCUGUCUCUCUCUCUCUCUCUUUCAGUAAGUGAAGUAAGAAAUAGGUCUUUCUUGAGGAACAAAAAGCUGAAAUAAUUUCAUGCAUUUGAAUAUGACCCUUGACCUGUUUUUGUCCAUCAUCACUCAGAUUUGUGGCUGCAACCACCAACCAAUUUGGUGCCAUAGGAUAUAGCAUAAUUUUUCAGCAACAGUUCAUAAGCUUUUCUUUUUGUUCUUUUUCCUUCUUCCAGUUGUGGUGGUUUAAAAACAUGUCUGCAAAAUCUUUGACACUUCUCAGUAAAAAAUAUAGUCUUGUGUUCCCUUUUCUUGAACCUAAGUGGCCUUUGUGCUGCCUCAACAAAUAGAAUAUGACAGAAAAGACACUAUGUGACUUUUGAGACAGGGUCAUAAGAGGUGAUACAGCUUCCCCAUGCCCCUGCAUUUUAGAGCUCUGGGUUGCCAUGUAAGAAUAGCUACCCUGAAGCUACCAUGCUGAAGAGACCACAGGGAAAUCACAUAGAGUUAGAAAGAGGUGUCUGAAGAAGCCCAGCUGCUCCCAAUCCCAGCUAUUUAAGUCCUCCCAGACCAGGUGCCAUAUAUAUGAGUGAGCAAGCCUUCAGAUGGUUCCAGCACCAGCCACCAUCUAGCUGUAAGCUCAUGAGACCCCUUCAACGAAAACCAUCUAGAUUAGCUUAGUCAAGCCCCAGAACCGUGAAAGACAAUAGACUUGCUAUGGAGGUCGCCACAUGCCUCUUUUUUCUCCCUUUGUGAAUGGGAUUAUUUAUAAUGGUUACCCCAUACCUACUCCACUAUGUAUAUUGGGUAUGAGGGAGAGAUAAUUUGUCUCACUAGCUGACAGAUUUUUCAGACCUCAAGGAAUGCCACGUGAGCUGUACUCACAGGACCACACACAAGUAUCUUUAUCCACACGUGACCUGAUUUCACUGAUAAAGUCCUGGACCUUGAGCCUGAGCCCAAUGUCUUAAUAAAUGAGAAUUUCAGAAGGUCUUGGGAGGGGGUGAGUAUAUUUUGCAUGUGGGAAGGAUGUAAAUAAUAUGUGGCCUGAGAGCAGAUUAUGGUGGUUUGAAAAUGUGUCCACCAAUUCUUUAAUACUACUCUCAACAAGAGGUGGAAUCUGUGUCUCUUCCUUUGGAACAUGAGUGGACCUUUGUGAUUAAAUGCAGCAGAAGGAUGCUGUGUGAACUCUGAGACAGGGUAAUAAGGGGUGAUACAGCUGCCACCUAGUUCUUUCUCAGAACAUGUGCCUUUGGAGCCCUGAGCUGCCAUGGAAGAAAACCACCUACCCUGAAGCCACAACACUGGAAAGACCAUGUGGAAGAACCACAGAGAGAGAGAAGAGGACCAAAUGUGUGAGCCUUCCCAGCCCAGGCUCCAAAUAUGCAAGUAGUAAGCCUUCAUUUCUUUUUGGUUUUAAUUUUUUUUUUUAAAUAAAUCGAAAUGGGUUCUCACUAUGUUGCCCAGGCUGGUCUUGAACUCCUAAGCUCAAGUAAUCCUCCUACCUCAGUCUCCCAAAGUGCUGGAAUUGUAGGCAUGAGCCACCAUGCCCGGCUGCAAUUAGUAAGUCUUCAGAUGCUUCCAUCACCAGCCACCAUCCGAUGACAACCCCAUGAAUGACCCUCAGCAAGAACUACCUAGCUGAAUCCAGCCAAACUCCAGACCCAUGAGAGAGAAAUAAAAUUGUUGUUUGAGUCACUAAAUACGGAGUAAUUUAUAUUAUCAACAGAUAACUGGAACCACAAGUGUAAUUGUUAAAGGUAAAACUUUGAAUACAUUUAUAUUUGCCUUCUGCCACAUUCCAUAAUUGACUUUUGUUCAUGAACCUAUUGGCAAGUUUGCCUUAUUGCUUUUCCUUCUUCCCUCUUUUUUUUUUUUGUAACUUAAAAAAUCAUAUAAUAAAACAACACAAAAAUGUAUUUGAAUGUAGGUUGAGUGACCGUAAAUAAGCACAAAACUUCUCCUUCCUGUGACUCUCUUGUCUGUAUAUGCCAAGUAUCUAACACAAGGCCUGCCUGGCACAUAAUUUUUUUUUUUAAAUGUUAGUCUCUUUUAUCAUUCUUUUUCCCUGUCAGUGGUAUUAUCUUUACCCAUGGAAUCCAGCACCCUCAUGCUGACUUAUAGUUCCCCAAAGUCCCUAACCUCUACAGUCCUCUCCAACCCCCACCCCAGGCCUCUCUCUAUGUUCCAGACAUUUUCUGGCUUUUUACCAUUAUCCAAACUCUGAACUUAUCUACUUAGUUUUUAUAAAAAAACACAGAGUGACUACAUAGCUAAUAUAAAUAAUGCCAGUGUUAACACAAAAAUUUGACUUGAAUGAUUACAAUAGCAAACUUCAAUGUUUACCCCAUGGAAUAGGCAGAAAAUUUCAAGCACUUUUCUAGGCCACCUGAGUCUAUUUUGAGUAAGGAUCCUUAAGUUGAUACUCAAGUAAUGACAUUGAUGCAAUGUAGAAGACUAUGCUAAAAUUUGUCCUGGCUUCUCUCCAUGCUAUGGGCCAUCUGUAAAGCUUUGGAGUCUAGGUCAGAUGUAUGCGUUGUCUCCUCUUUGCUACCAUUUUUGUACAGAUUUCUAAUCUAAAUAAAAUUAAUGGCAAUAACAGUGUGGAAAGGGAAAGCCUAAAAGAAAGAGGGUUUUUGAAGAGUGGGGGACCAGAAAAGAAGAGGACAAUUUUACCUGAAUUGUUUUACUUUAGAAAAUAAAUUUGUUCAUGUGAUUCUGUGAGUCAAUUUACACAUGUAUAUAAAUACACAUUUCUUUAUUUAACCAUUAUUAUUAUCACUAUGUGAUCCCUCAAUGUGCUGGCUACCACGGGUGUAAGAUAAAUUACAGAAACUCCUUAUUCUGAAGGAUUCCAACAACAAUUUGGCAUUGUGCACUGUAUGGGGCCUGGGAAAAUCCUCUGAUUUGCCAUACCUUAGGAAAGGUCUUUGCAUGAUACUAGGCCAUGUCUCUUACUACAAUGAUGAGCAUUCUUAGAUUUAAAAAUAAUACCAAGCUGUCAGGAAAACUGAAUUCCAUCAAUAAUAACAUCUUUUCAUAAACUGAAAGCUUGCAAAGCCUUAAUUAAAAAAAUGAAUUUAUUACUAAGUGAAUUUAAUUCACAAAAGGAAUUUUCCCCAAUAUUUAGGCUGUUGUUGGUUUUGGCUUUGUUUUUAAUUAACAUUUUUAGUUGUAUGGUUUGAUCAAAUACUGAAUUUGAGUUCAAAGAUACAUUUCCUCUGAGGAUGCAGUCUAAAGAGGCCAAGUAAAUAAUAGAAAAUCAUAGUUUCCAAGUUUCGCAGAACAAAGCUCAGUAGUUCCAUGACUUUUUCAGUGUUCUACAGAAUUGAGCUACUCCCUCUUACACAAAAAAGUGCUCUAAUUUUCAUUUUUUUCUUCUUUGCUCAGUUUCUUCAUUUAUUUGCCUACUUUCUUAAUUUCUUCCUAAGUAAAUAUAUAGCUAUCUUUGAGGAGAAGUGAUGUAACAUCAGAAACAAAGAGUAGACUCACAAUUAGAGCCCACUGACUCAUGGGACUUUAGAUAAACCACUAAUCAGGAAACUGGGGGUGUUAAUGCUGUUUAGUUAGUUGAUUGAGGAGGUGAGGACAAAACCUGGUGACUUCAGGGCCUCAGCAACAGAACUCCUACCUAUUUCCAUUGCUACCACUUACCUUAUGGGCAUUAGAUAAUUCUGCAGUGAGUUAUUCUGUGCAUGAGGGGGCAAAGGCUUUAGAGUCAGGUAGCUGGGGAGUUAUUUUCUCUCUCUGCUAUUUAAUAGCUGUAUGACCUCAGGUGAAUUUCUUAAUCUCCGUUUCCUUGUUUGUAAUACCCAUCAUGAGAAGUUGUUCUGAGGAUCACAGAUACUAUACCUAAAGUACCCAACAAAGUCCUGACACAAGGAAGGUGUUCCAUAAACGGUAGCUAUUUGAAGUAGUCUAAAAGGUCCCUUUCAAAUGUUUAAUACACCCAUAUAAUCCCAAUCUUAAUCUCUCACUCUCUUGUUGGCCCAUCAUUAGAGCACCAGAUCCCCUUGACUGCUUUCCAGGGUAAGGAUGCAAGACCACUGAGAACUGUGCCGCGCUGGUAAGAAGAGGUGCUGAUGGCAUGCUGUUGCCUCUGCCAGACAGACUCUGUCUUUGCUGAAGUGUUUAGUAUUGCUAUUGUGGCAAAUGCCAUUUUAGUCAAAGGCAAUAAAUCUUCCUUUGUUUAAAUGACAGAUGGCUAGGAUUGUUACUUCUGUUUCUAGCAAACCCAGAAAGGGAAAAAAUAAAUUACUGACAUUCAGAGUUCUUGUUUUUUAAGAAUAUUAGGGGGAAAAUGAAAAUAGUAUAGUUUCAGCAAAGUUAUAUAGUUUUUGCAGUCAACAGAAUAAUGGGCCCCCUAAUGAUGUUCACGUCCUAACCCCUAGAAUCUAUGAAUAUGUUAGGUUACAGGGCAAAGGGGAAUUAAGAGUGCAGGUGGAAUUAAGAUUAAUUAGCUGACCUUAAGAUAGGGAAUGUAGCAUAAUUUAUCCAGGUGAGCCCAAUAUAAUCACAAUGGAAGACAGAGACAGAAGAAUCAGAGUCAGAGAAGACGUGGCUACAGAGGAGAGAGUGAUGAGAUGUGAGGAUUCUGCCUGCCAUUGCUGGCUUUCAAGAUGAAGGAAGGGGGCCAUGAACCAAGGGGAUGCCUCUAGAAGCUGGAAAAGGUAAGGAAACAGAUUCUCACCUAGACUUCCAGAAAGCUCUGCUGUUGCCUUGAUUUUAGCCUAGUGAGACCCAUUUCAGACUUCCGACCUCCAGUACGUGAAGAUAAUACAUUUGUGUUGUUUUAACCUAUUAAGUUCUAAAAUGGUGAACCCAAUUUCAUUUCUUCUCUCCCUUUACAAGGUAGGUGCUAUUAACAGUGAAAUGACAAUGCAAAAGCAAAGCAGAGGAAAGCACCAGCAAAGGACAUGCCUCGCUGACUGCAGAUUACAGUGUCCUCUACUCAAUUCCUAUCUUAAUAUGUAUCACAUGCCCUGCCUGAGAUAAUGAGGACUCUCCCAUUCCCUCAGUCUUCAGGUUGCCUCUACUUCUCUUCCAUUUUCUUUUUCCUUGAUAUGAUCCUCUUCUUUCUCAUUCUUCUCUUCUUUCAUUUCCUGAGUUGUUUUCUCUCCACUUCUUCCCCCUCUACUCUGAUAGGAAAUAUUAUAGCAGUAGCCCAAGCUAGAAGAAAAAGGACACACCUACCAGCUCCCUCCCUCCCUCACAACACCUACACGGCUGCUGGGGAAGCCUUGAAUGAAAGCUAGAAAAGAACAAAUAGGAAAAGAGGCAUUUGAAAACAGAACAGAAAUAGUCACAGACGGGUGACAGGCAGGAGAUGCCACCUCAUUGACAGCUGCCACCAUUUUCCAUAGAGAAGUUAUUCCAUUGUAGUAUACACCAGGGCUGGGUUUAAAUAUUUUUCCUAUGUACUUGGUAGUAUAGUGGAAGCUCCUCCAUUUCUCUAAAUAGUUAACUGCAUACUUAGAGCUCUUGGUAGCGUUUAGAACACGGAGUUAAUUAUUCUGAGUGUACCUAGCCCCAUCACUGUCUGUAAUCUGUACAAAAUUUGAUAAGCCCUUUUAAGGUAGUUAGAUAUUUAUUGAGACUCUGCUGUAUAUUUGGCAGUGCCCCAGAUAUAGGUAGUGGUGGUGACAGCAAGCAAUAGGACCAGUGGAGCCUGCUUUUUAAUAGAGAGUGAUCUCUCUGGUAUUGUUGUAAGUACAGCAUAUAAGCAACUUGAGGUGUUGUCUUAAAGAUGUGAGCUCACCUAAUUUACACAAGAGCAUCAAAGCCAGAAUUCCUCCCCUUGCUGAUGUUAGCCUGUAACUCUGUGCCUCUCAAGUGUAUAACUUCUUCUGUGGGAAUCAUGCUUCUGAAGCAUGAGGAAAGAACACACCCGUGUUUCCACUUUCUCUGCUGCUUUGCAUGUGAUCCCUCCAGGUAUGCAAAAUAAUGCCUCAAUAUCAUUUUGACCUGUGUUGUCAUUUUACAUAUUUUAUCAGAAGACUUCAUAUCGGAUGGAAGCAAAUCUUUAGAAGGGUUGUUAUAACAACUUGAACAGCCCAUCAUGCUCUAGGCAUGCUCCCUAUCACGGCUAUGUUUUCAUUCAUUAGAGAUGGAGGAGGAGGCGGCUUAAAAUGUGUAAUUCUAAUCACCUAUUCCUACAGCUCUCUAACUGGUCUCCGUGGCUUCUCUUGCCUUCCUCCAGUCUUGCCCGUGAACCUUGAUUAGAGGACAACACAACACUAACAGCCACUCCUCCCUCUCCCUCCUGACUCCUUAUUUGAGUUAGAGGCUCUCGUAACACCUGCGUCUUCCCCUUUGUCAGCAGUCAUCACAACGAAUUGUGAUUGCCUAUUUACUCAUCUGCAUCUCCCACUGAAUUCUGAUCCAUGGUGGCUGGCCCAUGCCUGUCUUGUGUACAUUUGCAUGUAAACCACUUAACCCAAGUGCCAGGAAGCAAACAGUACACGCAGGUGUGUGGAGUGAUUGAAAGCUAAUUUGCUACCUAAGAAUGUACAGUGAUUCCUCAGUGUUUAUUAGAUCAGGCCCAGACUCUUCAUUUCAGUUUUCAACUCCUCUGAUUUUUCUUUUAUACAAGCUUUCAGAUCUCCUCUUGGUUCUCAUCUAGCUCUUGCAUCUUUAUGCCGUGGGUUGAUUCCUCUGCCUGCCUAUCUGUAGUAGCUUGUCUCCUAGGAUGGCUGCCAUCAAUUUCUUCUCUUCUGUAUACACAUGCCACUCCCGCAUUGAGAGAUGGAGUCUUCUUUCCCCCUGGAAUCUGGUCUGGCCUGUGACUAAUUUCAAUAAUAGAAUCUUGCAUUUCUAUUGAAACUACCAAAAAAAAAAAAUUGUGUCAGCUACUACAGCUACUAAGUUUUGGGAUGGUUUGUUAUAUGGCAAUAGAUAUCCUCAAUACCAUUCUUCAAAGUCCCAAACCUACAUUUUCUGUGAAGCCUUACCUUGCUAGUCUAGUUAACACUGAUCUCCUCCUUCUCUGAAGUUCUGUGGGAAUAGAACUUUGUUGAUGCCACACAUUUUGUUAUCCAACUGUAUGUAUUAUUACUUUUCCUUUCCUGAAUGCCAGUAUGAACUCCAUGACCAAAUUAUAUGGUCUUUGAAGAUACCAAAUAGUGGAAAUAGGUCUUUUGUAAUCCCUUCAACAAGUCCUAGUACUGAAUAAAAAUGUAAUGGCUGUUGAAUUGGAUUAAAAGUAAAAAUAUUCUUGGCCA